AAGUUCACUGUGUUAAAUCAAUAGAAUAUAUUCUAAAAAUAUAAAAAUCUUUGAUAUUUGGUUUUUACCUUUGAUUUUUCAGAUCUGAAUAUAUAAAUCAAUAUUAAAGAAUCUUGCAAACUAUUUUUUCUGUUGAACGCAGCUAUCAGUGGAACGAUGCAUUCAGUGAAAUAUUAUCAUUGGUUAAUUCUCUCUUCGUCCGAGAUUUCGGAGCGAUUUCUAGCAUAAAGGUUUAAAUUAUUUCUAACCUCGAUUUCUGCUGCGAAUAAAUAGCGGCUAACAUUGAUUUAAUCAAAUUUCAUCAUGAAUAAUACCAGAAAAGCAUUGACAAUUCGAUCAUGAGUAUGAGAAAUCCUAUAUUACAAAAAAA